AACAGUGCUCAUAAAGCAAGGAAAUUCCGACUGGUACAACUUUCUUUAACUUGAGAUAAAGUAAUAUUUUUUUUUCUCAGGUUCUCUGAGGACUUCACCACUGUUAACCUGCUUUACAUAGAUUUUUCUUGGACUCAGUGGUGAGAAACCUUUACUAAAUAGAGAAAGAAGUGGGAGGAGGAGAAGGCCAGAUGGGAGAUUGCCAGCAGGACCAGAGCACAAAGAGCAAGAAAAAGCAAGGUGCUGUCCUGAUGACCACGAAGUCUUUCCAUCAACAGUUGUUCCCUCCAAAUAAAGGAAAGUAGUCUUAAAGACAUAUUUCUUGUUUCAUCAUUGGGUUAGAAAUUUGUGACUGACUGCUGCAACAUGUGGCUGGUGCCCUUUGUUGAUGACUAGCUGAUUGUUGGGGGCAUUAUAUUCUUGUAAACAGUUUUCAGCUGCCUGUUCCAUGAGCCAGCCGCCUUACCCCGAUGAUUAAUUGAGCCAUUAUUCCUGCUAAGUGCUGCUGCAGUUUUGUCAUUCCUGAAUAAGACACGUUCUCUGUUCUUAUGUUUGCAGUGGUUUUGGUUGUGUGCCAACUUUUUGAAGAGGGUUUGAUCUGCGAUUUGAAAUACUUGGCGUUUCCUAAGUAAUUGGAUGAUUUUUGAGACUUGGGCUGUGCAGAGCUUUCAGUUUUCGGAUAUUUGAUAUUUUCCAAGGAUUACAUUACAGGCUAUAGUGCUGACAUGUUUUCAGGAGCAAACAAGGCCUUAUCUUUCUGCCUGCACUCUGUCAAACUUCUGCUGAACAGAACAGAAGUCAUGCCACUGUAUUACCCCCUCUAAGCCUGCAAAUUUGACGCCAUGUAGAUGCUGUGCAGGCUUCGGUAUGAAGUGUACUGGCUUCCCCCAAAGGAAUAUGACGAGUUUGGGGACCCAUCUUCACAAGAGCGAACUGGAGGAUCAAGGCUUACCUAGAUGGGAAGCAGGGGUACAGAGAAUGCAUUUGUUUCAACAUGAAAAAGCAGUCGUUCCUAAAUCUGGAGCUGAUUACACCAAGGCAGAUCCUACGGGGCGUUUCGGGAAGCACCCAUUAGCAAACCAGAGCACUGAUUCCUGUCCUCACGGGUGGGGGUGCUUGCUGCCCCUCUGCGCACAGCCAGAUGGACAUCGGCACUCUGCUCCUAGGAUCAUCACCAGCAGGAGACCAGACCCCAGGCAGGGCCUACACCCUGUUGACACCGCAGAUUUUGACAGCAGAUUUCCACUCUCUGCUUGCCAGUGGGUACCGUCACACUGUUUUGGGUGGGGGGCUCCUGCCUGGGACUUCUGGCUCCAUAAGCCCUACAAGAAGCGGUGCACAGACAUCCUCCUCCUGCCUCGGAAAGGGAAGGAAUCAUCAAGCAGGAUUUCUGAGGAUCUCAGUCUUGUAGUCUAGCACAAAAAAGUAUCUAAACUGUUAUGGAUGGUGAUGGACAUCGUAUUGCUAAUGUGAUGCAACCUAUCAGGCAGGACUGCAAGAAACCUGGUAAAACCAUCAGCUCUAGAGACUGACUAUGCACUCCCUGUUCUUUUUUCGAAUAAGAGUGCAGGUCUGCUCUGGUUCUGUAGCUGACAGUGUCCAUUACUGUAUUAGCAGCAAACUAUGCCAUUUACAGAAAAGCACCUAAGCUUUCAAACUACCUAUGUCACAACUACUCAGUAUUUUCAGUUCAUUUUCACAAGCUGUCUUUGUCAGAAAGCCAGUAACAAAGAUGCAGUACCGAGCAUUUAGCACUUGGGCAGCAAUGUGGACAACAAUACUGUGAACAACAGUGUGGGGAGGCUGGGAUGUUUAUUUUGAACCUAAUUUUGUUUGCACACUUCCCUGUGUGCAGCAUAAACUACUCAUUCAAAACAUUUCAAUCCAGAAACAGCCAGGUGGGCUGUGGUGGGGUCAUUGCAUACAUUCAGCUUCGCAAUGUUGCUGCUUCAUUUGGAUUCACUUGUGUGGUCCUUCACAUUAAGUCCCCUCUCCCAAUGAGGUGCUAUCAGUGCAAGACAAGCACACGGCAGAAGUGGAUGCAAGUCAGAAAGAUUCAUGGAAAGCUCUCUAUCUGCUCACAGCCUCCCCCUUAUUUGUUAUGUGUUAUUGCUGGUCAUCUUCUGGUGCUGUACAGCUCUUCCAGCUGCACGGUGACUGAUGUCCACCUUCCCGUGGAGUGAUGCUGGCUGUCACACUCAGCCUGCUGCAUCCCUGCCUCUCCGAAUUUCUUCUGACAUCUCUGCUCUGCCACAACACCUCCUAAUAAGCAGGUCACGUAAUGGGAAAUGACUUGGUAGAAGAACGCACUCAGAUGAAAGAUAGACCUGAGUGAGGAUCUCUGAUGGAUUGAAAAGGACUCCAUUUCACACAGUGCUGCUUGAGUUGCUCUCCUGCAGAGACAAGUAAUUCAUCCUGAACAGAUGAUCGCUGCUUUCCUAUGAGAUCUGAGAAUCAAGGGAAAAACUAGAUAACAGCUUUCCAGAUACUUUAAUCUAUGUAUGAGGUUAAUUUUCCUAGUCUAGUGAAAAUCUGAAGCUGCCAGAGGAAAAAAAAAAAAAAAAGAAAGAAAGAGAAAAAAAAAAAAAAGAGCUUUAAGUCACAGUAUCAGAAUUAAAAUGACUUCAGAAUCCAGAUUUUGAUUUCUGGUGGAAGCAUGAAGAAUUUAACAUGACUUAAAAGAUACAGAGAGCACAGAUUAAAUGAAUUUAGCAAAUACACUCUGAAUGAGAUACAGAGCUAAAAGAAGACCUUGCAAUGAAUAUUGGCAUCAUAUCAAGCCUAACUUGUGUGCGUUUUCUUGCACUCUUCCUGGUUUGAUGGCUCUGGCAUUCCUGAAUUGGCAGUGGCCAGACUUCAAAAGGAAGCUGUGCAUGGACUGUCUUGGUUCGUGGUGGCUAAGGCUGCUAAUGGCUACCCCGGGGCAGUCACCAGCUGAAUGCAUUUGCAUGGAUCUACAUUGCCUAUUCCAUCCUUAGACACAAUUAGUAUGAAUUAUUCUUCAUACUGCCCAAGGAUCCACAUUGUUUGUCUUUGUGCCCAGCCCCUUCACAGAUUUGCCCUGCUGGGCUAGAUGCUAGAUUUUUUUAGGCGCUGUGAAACCUACAUGGAGCUGCACAGUGUGCCCUUUUCACUUUGGCACAAAAAUCUAGGUUCCUUUAAAAAUGCUGUCCUUAGGACUUACACUGUCCAACAUAGCCCAGCAUCAAUCAAGUUAAAAAUCUUUGUUCCUUUGCCUGUAGGUGUUGUCCUCUGUAGCUAGCACGAAAUUCUUCUGUCAGUUCUCUCAUUUAUUUCAGCAAACUCUUUCUCUCUCUUCUGAACAGUUUUGUCAUUUUGGCCUUAUCUUUGGCUAGAGGUUAAGAAAACUCUUCUGUCUGAUGUUGAUCGGCCAGCAGGGAAUGCUUACAGCAUCAGCUAGCCAGCCCCUGCUCUACCUCCCAAGAAACAAAACAAGUCAUUCUCCAAGCCAGCUUCCCACAGCCUGGAGGGCCUGGGAUUUACAGCCUGUUUGAACUCUCCCAGAUGGUAACACACCAGGCUGCUGCAACACCACGCUUGGUGGCUAGUCCAAAGACACUUCCUCAUGCUGAUUUAUUUGUUCUCUCAGCUUCAACAAGAUACUUGUCUGUGUUUCUCUCUGCUCUCUGGCAUUUUCCCUCCACUUCCAAAGUCUAUACAAAUUAUGCCCUGUACAAAUUAUACCCUGUACCAUUCUUGUCCACCUAUCAAAACACAUAAAUCUGAAAAAAAAAAAAAAGUCCUAUGUGAUCAAAUGGAUCAGAUCUAUUUGAUAUUUCACACCUAUGAGUUUAAUCAGAUCCAGUAAAAGCUUUCUCACAGCUCCCUGUGCUAUUUUUUCUCUUGCGUUCGAGCUUGAAAGGAAUAAGGAACAGGAAAGCAAGUGCAGAAAGCUUGUUCAAGGUAUGUGGACUACCAGGUAUGCCCCACAGACCAGCAGCUCUGUGAAUAAUAAGGUGACUGUCAACAGUUAACACAUAUAUGUCUAUGCCUGGGAACUCUGCAGUUUUUGCUUUUGUGGGUUUUAUUCAGAUACGAUGUACAUAGUAGUCAUAAUAACUUUGGAGCAAAACCAUUUGUGUCUUAAUUAUAUGAAACAUGCUGUUCAGAAAGAAGACAGCUUGUAGACUUUGGAAAGCACUUCAGAUAUGCUUUGAGCUUAUAGGAUCAGUCUGGCAUUAAAAACAAAGGAGGCAGUGUAUGUGUGUGCAUUUAUAUAAAAAUAAAUUAUCAUACAGCCCUUUACUGCACAGUUCCUGAUAAUUCCUUCAGUUUUAAUGCAUUAGCAAAGAAAAUGAGGAAGUGACUAUCAAAGGGUGAAAGGAUAAAUGGCAAUCCUUUCAACUCUAUGAGGAGUCAGGAAACCCCAUCAUCUGCACAGUGUAGCUCUGCUUUGACAAUCUCCUGGGAGGCUCUUGAAGACACUGUUGGGUUGAUACCAGCCUUAUCAUAUGGAACCAGGACAACAGUUUGGAAGGAACAGAAGCAAAGCCAGAAUAUAUUCACGAAGGAGGAAAAUGGAAUGGAAUGAAAUGAAGCAAAAACCUAAAAAAAAAAGAAAAAAAAUAGUUUCAAAGAAGCCUUUUCAAUUAAAACAUAAAAAUUAAAAAUGUUCUAUUACUCAAGGGCAUAAAGGGAGGCAGAAAUAUUGAACAGAAAUUUUCCAGAUGAAUCAUGCAAGAUUUACAGUUAUUAAAGGUUUUUGUUGCUGUCAUUUAUGAAUGUUUCUAAAGGGAGUACUUUAAUUUAUAUGCUUGUUAGAUAUAUUUUUUUCUUUUUCUUUUCUUUUUUUUUUUCUUUUUUUUUUCUUUUUCCCCAAUAUGCAACCUAGUUCUUAUAUUUCCUACGCCAAUCUACAAAAACACUUAUCCUUUCUUUCAUUCUUUCUGGUCCUUUGCUACCUAAUUUAGACUAAUUUAGAUGUCUCUGCCUCUGAAAUUCUACCUGUAAACACCAAAAGACAUGAAAGUAAACAACAUUUUCAAAUAUAAUUUUGCCCUCUAAAAACUUUAGAAGAUUUGUUAAUCUGCCUCAGAAUGAAAUCUUCCUCACGUCUUUGCAAAA